CCCCUUGCUUCUCCAGACCCGAGGCCGGAGUCCUGGUUUCUGGUGCACUGGUCGCUACCAGUCACCCCACUCCUAGCCUUCUAUCUGCUCCUGGGGGUGACAGGUCCUCGCCUCGUGUCCCCUCGGGAGCCUCUGAGGCUGGCAGGACCCCUUGCGGCCUACAACCUGGGCCAGGUGCUUCUCUCGGGGGUACAUGUUCUAUGAGGUAAGGCCGGUGGGGGGCCCUGCAGUCCUAGGGUCUCUUUUUUUGGGGGUGCCAGGGGACAAUUAAAACCACGAUCUUCCCAUGCAGACAGCUGAAAAGCCUUGAUGGGGAUCUGCAGGGGCUGGGAUCCUGGGUUAUUUUUGGCUGCGAUAUCUUCCCUAUGGAGACACAAAUCCCCAUCGCUUACGCCCAUUUUCCUUUUCCUGAAAUAAAAAAGUGGAGGUCAGUGGCAAGCAAGAAUGGAAUUCAUCCUCCACCUGCACCUAAAAACCCACCACUACCUCCUGUUUCUGCUGGGCUCUGCUAAUUUCAGCCCAGUUUUCUGAUCCUUCCUGAUGCCUUGUUCUCGGCAAAGAGUCCAUCAGCCAGUGUGCACUGUGUGCGUGCUUUGUGCCAGACCUGCAGGGUCACCGCUGCGUGAGGCACACCUGCCCUCCAGGUGCCGGAGGUCUAGGGGGAGAUGGAUGCAGAAACAGGCGAUUGCAAGUCAGUGCAAGCGGGGCCAUAGAGAGCAUGCACGCGGGACAGGGCGGGCGGAGCGGCAGGGACCCCGCUGGGGUGUCCGGGGAAGCUUUUCAGAGAAAGUGGUCCUGGCGGCUGACAUGUAAAGUGGUCACCACAGCGAGCCCGUGCACUGCGGCCUUUGUGAAGAUCUGCUCAUCCCACCCUCUGUCACGAGGCACGGUGCAGGUAAGUACCUUGGCAGGUGGCAGGGCGCCCUGGCCGCAAGCUCGCCUCCAUCCUUCCUGCCUCCAUGCCAGCAGGGACCAGGCAGGCGGUCCAGCCUGAGGAAGCAGGUCCUGACAGCUCUGCCUUGUUCGUUCACCAUCUCUCCCUUAGUGAUUGGCCUGCCUUCCUUGCCCCGCACUGCUGCCCAAAUGAUCCUUCCCAGCCACCGAAAGGGUCCUGCCAUGCCCGCAGCGGCCCUGAUGUCUUCCUGGCCAGCAGGGCUCCUCCACUGGGUGUACGGGGCCUCCCAGGUCCUCUCUGGCCUCAGCUUUCCUUUCCAGCCUCACCUCCCUCCACACCCCAUGGUCGCCCUGCUCACCUGCCUUGCAGCCCCGCUGGGUCAGGCCCAAGGCCCUGGCAACUGACUGUUUUUCUGCCAGAAAUGCUCUUCUCCCCUGGUGCCCAGACAAAUCCCCGCACGUCCUAUAGACUCAGGCCUUUGUCACCUCUUGUGAAGUUUCCCUGAGUCCCCAGGGCUGGGUUAGUUGUCCCGUCACUUGCUUUUCACUUCUGCUCUCCGUGGUGGACGGGCAGCCCCACCAGCUGGUGAGCUCUAAAUGUGAGUGUCUGCAUCUCCCCAGCUCCAAGUUCAGUGACCUCCUUUGAAAUCAGCCAGGGUGGGAGGAUUUACACCUUAGGAACGGGCAGACACUGCCAAUCAGCCCCUCCCCGCCGAAAGCCUGCUAGGCAUUGACCAGCAGCAUCCUUCACUCUGACCCACCCCUGUUUCAUCAUGUACACAUUUGUCUGUCUCCCCUCCAAAUGGCAAGUGCUUCGAAAGCACAGCCAUCUCUUACUUCUCUUUGUAAAGACAGGCCCCACAUAACGUCUGGUACCAUGUGGAAGAUGCUGAUACCUUGUGAGACAUGUCCUAGGAUUUGUCAUUUAAUUGUGGUGACAGAUGACUGCUGCCACCGCGAUCCUCUGAAAGUCUGCUGUGCCCAUGUUGGCUUCCUGCUCAGAAGCCCUCCAUAGCUCCCUUUGCCGAUAUAACCUGAAUGGAGAGCCCUCGUGUAGGGAUUUUUAUCUGUUUUAUCAUCGAGGUGGCUCGGGACUCAGCGCAGGGCCCAGCGUGGAGAAGUGUUUAGGACCAGACAACGCAUCAUUGUCAAAUGAGUAAACAAAUGAUAAAAUUCAAGUUUCUUAAAGCAGCCUUCAAGACCCCUCGUGAACUGAUUCCGCUCUCUCUCAACUUCUGUGGCUGCCCCUCCCCUGGUAGAAGUCUCCACUUGCAGCCCUGGAGAGUUAGGAGAGGUCCAGACACUCUCCUCCUGGCAUAAAGCUCCCUUUCCCUCCCCUCCAUUUGCCCACCACCUCCCCAUUCUCAGCCGGCUACCAACUUCUGGGACAUCUCCUGUUUCUUACUCUUCAUCUGGCCUCAACCUGGAAAGUGAGGAUGGUUUCCUGCGUCCUCAGGGAAGCUCUCGGCUUCUCGGGGGCAGGGGGUGCUGAUGUGUGCACGGCUUCAUGUCCCCUCCUGACUUAGGGUCUCACACAUAGUAGGUGCCCAGCGUGGGUUUGUGGUCUAUAUUUGCCCCCAUCAGAAAAAAAAUUGGAGACCAGCAAGAUGUAUGCAAGUCCUAGCCUGUGAUCUAGCCAGUGCACAGAGUUUACCCGGUUGGCGAUUGUUCACCAAGUGUCAGUGAGGGUUGGGGAGGGAUGCUGGUGUCCAGAACAUGUCCGGAGGUGGCACCAGCCUCUUGGGCCUUCAACCGGUCAGGCCCCACCACGGUGAGGGUGGGGCAGGUGUCAUGACUUAAUCUUUUUCUGUUCUCUUCCUGUUAGUUCAUGGCCACCUCGCUCCUGGCUAAUUACAGCUAUUUCUGCCAGCCAGUGGACGACAGCCAGAGUCUUUUUAUUCUACGAAAGAAGCCUGAACAGAUCACCUUCCCGCACGUCUACCACCAUGGCACCGUGCUCCUCAACUGCCGUCUUCGCCGGGAUGCUGAAUUCUUUGGUCCAUGUCUUCAUGUACCUGUACUAUGAACUGGCCAGUCUGGGGCCCCGCCUGUGACCCUACCUGUGGUGGAAGCGACAUCUUACCAUCCUGCAGCUGGUGAGAGAGACCCACUGGCUCCAGGGGCCUCAGAUGAGCCCUGGCUUCUAUUCUUGGCUGCACCAGUGACUUGUUAUCUGACCGUGAACAAGCCCUUCUCAUCACUUGGUCUUCCUUAGCUUCUCAACUCGCAAAGGUCUAGUAACCACCUCGCUAGAUCCUAGGACCAACCCUAACUCUCUGACAUAACGUGGGGCUCAGAUCGAGCGGUUAACACGCUUCGGGCCUCGGUCUCACCUCCAGUGAAAUGGGAGGGGUGGGCUGGGCUAGAUGCCCUCAGAGGGCUAAUGCCCUGCGAGUCUGUGGCCACUGAUCCACCCCCCCAGGGCCUGGGGGCCCUGUGGUUUGGGGAGCACCAUUGCCAGGUGCAGGUGACAGCCUGAGCUGUCCUUCUCGGGGCUGAGGAUGGAUUGAGGUCGUCAUCAGUGUCAACGUGGCACGGCUGGAUGGGGGCCAAUGGGAGACCAGACUAAGAGAAGGGUCAGGAAGGUACUUAGCACCACAGGUAGGAAAGCUUGGGGAUGGUGCUUCAUAGCUCUUCUUCUUCCUGAGCUGUGGGAGGCCUGCCCCUGCUGGUAGACAGAGGGGACUACAAGAAGGUCAAGGGGAGCACCCCUCCUGUUCCUUAGCACUGCUUCUCACCUUUCUCCGUCGUCUUCUCUUUCCUCUCGCACUUCCUCUCCCCUGUGUCAGUUUGUGGCCAUUGUGGCCCACUCCUCCUACAACGUCUUUGCUGAGUGCCCCUUCCCGGAUGGGUUCAAUGUGGCCGUCCUCCUGUACUCCCUCAGCCUCAUCCCCUUUUUCCUCAACUUCUACCACCAGACAUAUCUGAGGGGCAACAGGAGAAGCUGGCUUAAGGGGCGGGACCAAGGACUGAAGCUAACAGAGCCAUCCCUAGAGAGAGUUUGGUGGAAGAUGGCAUGACUCACAUCCCACUCAUGCUGAGCAGAUUCCUCUGGGCCCCGCACUUCAUCCUAUGAGGGAAGGACAAUACUCGCCUCCUUCCAGAGUUGAGGAGAACAGAAAUGGACCAGCUUCCUGAACUCACUUCUCCUGUGGAUUUGUCACUGUUUGUACACCUCCUUCCUCUACUAGACAUGAUCCCCCCACAGGAGGGAUUGUCUUACUCUCAACGUUUCCCAGACCUGGCACAGCAACUCAAUAAAUGUGCAUUUAGAUCCCAAUCUUCCCCCACUGGCAGUCAUGACCUCUGAUGAGAAGCAGGGCUGAGAGCAGGAAGGAAGUCAGGGUUGGCUUGAUCUCCCACCUUGCAGGCUGGGUCAAUGACUGAGAACAUCCAAGGAGUGCGGGUCUGUGUGAUUUCUAGCAUGGUUGUGCAAACGGUCCCCCUGCAUAUCUCUCUGUCUGUUCAUGAGUGCCCACACAUGUAUUUACAUAGUUGUAUGAUUCUGUGUGUGAGAAUGGGGCGGCGGAGAGGGCUACACAUAUAUGUCUGACUACUUGUUUUCAAAUCACGUGUGUGUUUCUGUUUAUGAUCUUCUCUGUUGAUGUUUUUUGCUUGCCUCUUCUGUAACUCUCGGAAAAUGCCACACUAGCAAAUAAAAGCUAUUGGGAUCCGUAACUUUCCUGUCCCAAUGGGAGACGUGGAAGUCCACAAGAGGUCUCCGAAUACAUGUUCCACGGAGAGCCUCCCAAAAGGGAUGUGGGUAAAGGAGGGGUGGGGUUAAACAAACGCAGCCAUCCACUUCACAGAGAGAGAAAGAGAGGACCAGCAAAAGGAAGUGUACAGUAUAGGAGGCUGAGGUCGCGUGGGAUGUUGGAAGCAGACAUCUGCUUCUCUGUUUAUGACCGGAACUGGAUGGGAGCCUGGAAUGCAGUUUCCCUGGGAGCUGCCUCUAUGCUCGCAGGAUGCUGUUCUCCUUUAUAAUCUCUCCCCGUAGCUCUUCUCCUUCACUAGGGAAGUUCUUAUUUUGCCAUAAGAACUCAACAGUCAAGAACAUUAAAGACCUGCUGAAGUUUCUGCAAGGCUAUUUGGGGACUAUUUAUCUAUCCAUCAGGUACUCUAGUUAAUUACCUCAAGGCCAGGCAGGGCUGCACCCUGUGGGCAGAAUACUCAGAGAAAAUUCCCUCCCAGUUAUGCAGGAUGUGAAGGCCUCCCACACACUUUUCCACAGCAGGUUGAGUGCCUUCGCAGGUGGGGGCUUAUCUUAAGGCAAUCAUUUUUUUCUUUUUUUCUUUACUGCAUAAGAGUAAGGUCUGUUCGUUUGAUUAGCAGCCAGGAUAAGGGAAAGAGGAGUCACCCCAGAGUUCAGAGCUAACAUUUGUCCUCUGUGGCUGCCUCUGACUGAUUAAGUAGCACAAGAGGAAACGCUGUCCUGGAUCACCUCUGAAUGAAGUAAGGUUUUGGCAGAGAGAGCCCAGCAUUAAGCAGCAUGGUGGAGAGGGUUUGGGGAAAAAUUCUUAGUGAGCUGAAAGUGUCCAUCCUUAUUUUAACCUGCCUUUUACUGUAAUUACCUCAUUCACGGCUGCUGGGCAGGAUGUUGUAUAUCGGUGUAGAGAGGUUGUGUGAAAUUAUAAAACACAAAGUUAUUUGUAUUUGCCAGAACACAGCCAGAUUCCUAAUUAACAUGGCAGAAGUUCACGUCUAUGAACUUUUGAAGAUAAUGGGAAUCAGGAGUGCUGGUUAGAUUUUUUUUUUUUU